rnacentral:rRNA from 1 species
AGAGUUUGAUCCUGGCUCAGAACGAACGCUGGCGGCGUGGAUAAGACAUGCAAGUCGAGCGAUUAUUCCAGGGUAGCAAUAUUCUGGGGUGAGAGCGGCGCAAGGGUGCGUAACACGUGGGUAAUCUGCCGAGAAGUCUGGAACAACUUGCUGAAAGGCGAGCUAAUGCCGGAUGUGGCUGUUGGGAGGCAUCUCUCGACAGCUAAAGUUGGGGACCGUAAGGCCUGACGCUUUUUGAUGAACCCGCGGCCUAUCAGCUAGUUGGUGAGGUAACGGCUCACCAAGGCUAAGACGGGUAGCUGGUCUGAGAGGACGACCAGCCACACUGGAACUGAGACACGGUCCAGACACCUACGGGUGGCAGCAGUCGAGAAUUUUUCACAAUGGGCGCAAGCCUGAUGGAGCGACGCCGCGUGGGGGAUGAAUGGCUUCGGCCCGUAAACCCCUGUCAUUUGCGAUCAAACCUCGUUAUUUAAAAGAUGACGAGCUGAUAGUAGCGAAAGAGGAAGGGACGGCUAACUCUGUGCCAGCAGCCGCGGUAAUACAGAGGUCCCGAGCGUUGUUCGGAUUCACUGGGCGUAAAGGGUGCGUAGGUGGCGAAGUAAGUCGGAUGUGAAAUCUCGGAGCUUAACUCCGAAACGGCAUUGGAAACUACUUUGCUAGAGGUUUGGAGGGGGGACUGGAAUGCUUGGUGUAGCAGUGAAAUGCGUAGAUAUCAAGCGGAACACCAGUGGCGAAGGCGAGUCCCUGGACAACACCUGACACUGAGGCACGAAAGCUAGGGGAGCAAACAGGAUUAGAUACCCUGGUAGUCCUAGCCGUAAACGGUGCAUGUUUGCUGUAAAAGGAAUCGACCCCUUUUGUGGCGGAGCCAACGCGUUAAACAUGCCGCCUGGGAAGUACGGUCGCAAGAUUAAAACUCAAAGGAAUUGACGG